AACGAACGCUGGCGGCAGGCUUAACACAUGCAAGUCGAGCGCCUCGCAAGAGGAGCGGCAGACGGGUGAGUAAAGCGUGGGAAUCUACCGUACCCUACGGAAUAGCUCUGGGAAACUGGAAGUAAUACCGUAUACGCUCUUUGGGGGAAAGAUUUAUCGGGGUAUGAUGAGCCCGCGUUGGAUUAGCUAGUUGGUGGGGUAAAGGCCUACCAAGGCGACGAUCCAUAGCUGGUCGGAGAGGAGGAUCAGCCACCUUGGGACUGAGACACGGCCCAAACUCCUAAGGGAGGCAGCAGUGGGGAAUAUUGGACAAUGGGCGCAAGCCUGAUCCAGCCAUGCCGUGUGAGUGAUGAAGGUCUUAGGAUUGUAAAGCUCUUUCACCGAUGAAGAUAAUGACGGUAGUCGGAGAAGAAGCCCCGGCUAACUUCGUGCCAGCCGCCGCGGUAA
rnacentral:rRNA from 1 species